rnacentral:lncRNA from 1 species
GAAGAAAGGAAACAAAUGACAAGGCCACCUUUAAGCAACAGGGAAGGAAGAUUGCAGAAGCUAUUGCUGCAAAAUGGGCCGAUCCAGUAAGUUUAUAUCUUAACAUCUCGAGUGUUUGCUAGAUCUUUUGCUCGGUUAGCACACUAUUUGAGAGUCUCAUUAAUUAGUUCUUUGUGAUUGACUUCAAACAAGUUAACACUUUUCUUACAAAUAAUUUUAAUGUCCUGCCUACUUAAUUUGAUGUUUUCGAUACUCAACAUUGUCCCUCCCAUGAUUAACUUCAAAGAGUAACUGGAUUCUUAUACUUGUAUGUUCAAUCCGUGUUUGAAAUUAUUGAUAGUUUGAUAGAAUCAUCAAUUUUUUCUCUUGCUUUCUGUAGGGCAUAUUUGGUUUCAAAAUUGUUUGCUGUUUUUAUUUUCUGCUCACACCAAUAAUAACAAUAUCAUAAGUAUUAAUGUUUUCUUAUUAUUCCUGCUUUCAAGUUUUACUACUUCCUAUACAAAUUCUGUUUUACCCUUGGUGUUUAAUUUUGGUUCAGAUAUUAUAUCCCACUUGUAAUUGUAAUAAAUAGAGAAAAUUGUUUUCGUAAGCGUAGCUAGACAAACAAGAUGAAGAAUGAUCAAGUUUUGAGUUUCAAAAUGUUUCAUGAUUGUUUCAGUCUCCGUGAGUUUGAGGUGAAGUGAGAAAGUGUGAAGAGGAGACGUGAGAAGAGCUUAGAUUCGACGUUUUGA